CAAUUAUUUAUUAUUUACUUAUAAAUAUUUUAAUCAAACAUAUAAUUGCUUAAAAUUUUAAAUACUUACGAGUUUAAAUUAACUAAAGUGGUUAUAGUUAAUUUCCAUGGGUUAAAGCUAAACACCCUCUAAUUCAAACAUGAGAAAGAAGGUUCACCAUGGAUGGACGUGGUCUACAUUUAACUAUCAAGGGCUGAGCUUUGGGCAUUGUUAGUCCAGCGCCCUCGGUCAUGUCCACCAUUUCCUUGCCAACUCUCUCCCAGUCAAAGCACUGAAGGACUGAACCCAAGGUCAAACUAACCAUGUGCAAGGCCAAGCUCUCUCCAGGACAACUCCUCCUUCCAGACCCAAAAGGCAUCAACCGAAAACCGUCCCUUACCCCUGCCUCACACCCUUCAAAUCUUUCUGGUUUGAAUUUCCUGGGCUCCUCCCAAACUCGAGGAUCAUUCUGUAUGCUCCACAUGUUCACUAUCAGCAUUGUGCCAGGUGGUACACGAUAGCCUCCUAUAGAGCACUCCUCUGACGACUCGUGAGGAACCAACAGUGGACCUGGUGGGUACAUUCUCAUGACUUCACUUAUAAUGCAGUGAAGAUAGGGAAUCUUUAAUGUAUCAGACUCAGUCAUUAAGCGAUCAUGUCCGAUGACAUUAUCAAUUUCGUUCUGAGCUUUCUUCAAAAUUUCAAUAUCAUUCACUAAAAGUGACAUUGCCCAUUCCAUGGUUACAGCUGAAGUAUCGGUUCCUGCUGCCAGUAGAACCAGCAUAAGGCUUUUGAUAGUUUCAUCCGUGUAGUACUCAGGAUCCGAUCGUUGCAGCGUCAACAAGACCUCAAUCAAUGUCUUAUUUUUCUCCUCAGAGGGUGAGAUGCUCAUUCUUUUUCUAUGUUCUUCGAUCAAAACUUGUAUAAACCCAUCUCUCCUCUCUUGCAAAUCAAGCAUUCUCUUCUCUACGCCUCCUAUCUUGGCUAAUAAGGGCAAAUAGUCCCCCAUGUUAGAUGUGCCAGCAGACUGGAACGUCUCCCUCACGAUCCUCCGAAAACUUGCCGCCGCCUCCUUUUCUUCCACGUUCUCACCGUAGUAUCUCUUCCCAGCUAUCAUCCUCAUCAUCACGUUCAGCAUCAGCUCAAAGAAGGCAGAUUUCAAAUCCACCGUCUCAUCUUUACUCUUAAACAAACGACGGAUCAGCAACUUCACCUCAUCGCUUCGUAUGCUAGACAGUAACUGGAGACGGUGAGAGGAUAGGAUUUCGAGGGAGGAUAAUUUACGGAGAUUGCGCCAAAGAUCGCCAUAAGGAGCCCAAACAAGGCUGGUGUAGUUGUAGCCUAAGUGUUUGCCAUGGAGGAGGCGUGGACGGUUGGCGAAGACGACGUCAUUCUUGGUAAAACAUUCCUCCACGGCUGAUGGGGAGGAGACAAGCAAUACACGGCGGUAGCCAAACUGAAGGAUAAGUACGGGACCGUAACGGUUAGAUAUGGCGGAAAGGGAACGAUGGAGAGGUUUGUGGAGGAGGUGUAGGUGGCCUAUUAUGGGGAGGGCAGGGAAUGGGCUUGGUGGGAGAUUUCGGAUCUUGUUGAGGAAAUGCUUGGUGAGCACAUAGAGAACCAGAAAGAGAAGGAAUUGUAAGAUCAUGGCGAUGAGUAAACAGUGAAAGAAUAUUGGUGGGCAGAAGUGGAGUCAAUAUGGAAGACAGAAUUGCAUUAUUAAAGACUGGCUGGGGCUGUGAGGUCAAUAGAAAUUAUAACUACACCAAAAU
rnacentral:misc_RNA from 1 species